rnacentral:rRNA from 1 species
CGUAGUUGAAAUUGUGUUCCGCGGCAUCUGUCUGCCUUUGCGGUAUGACGGGUGUGUCUGCGGGAUUUCUCGCCGGUGCGUGUUCUUGCCCUUGACCUUGCACUUGUGUAGGGGUGGGGGCGGGCCCUCGCGGCUGUUUACCUUGAACAAAUUAGAGUGCUCAAAGCGGGCUUAUAUUUGCCUGAAUAUUGUGCGCAUGGAAUAAUAGAAUAGGACCUCGGUUCUGUUUUGUUGGCUUUCUGAUACCGGAGGUAAUGAUUAAUAGGAAUAAUUGGGGGCAUUCGUAUUGCGACGUUAGAGGUGAAAUUCUUGGAUCGUCGCAAGACGGACUAAAGCGAAAGCAUUUGCCAAAAGUGUUUUCAUUAAUCAAGAACGAAAGUUAGAGGUUCGAAGGCGAUUAGAUACCGCUGUAGUUCUAACCAUAAAUGUUGCCAGCCAGCGAUCCGCCGUAGUUUCUUUAUUUUGACUCGGUGGGCAGCUCCCGGGAAACCAAAGCUUUCGGGCUCCGGGGGAGUAUGGUUGC